rnacentral:ncRNA from 1 species
AUAUUCACCUGUUUAUCAAAAACAUGUCUUUUUGUAUUUAAUUUAAAGUCUAACCUGCCCACUGUUAAAUAUUAAAGGGCCGCAGUAUUUUGACUGUGCGAAGGUAGCAUAAUCAGUAGUCUUUUAAUUAAAGGCUUGUAUGAAUGGUUGAAUGAGAUAU